UGUCUCCAUGACCAUGCAUGUCUAAGUAUAAGCAACUUGUACUGUGAAACUGCGAAUGGCUCAUUAAAUCAGUUAUCGUUUAUUUGAUAGUACCUUACUACAUGGAUACCUGUGGUAAUUCUAGAGCUAAUACAUGCUAAAAACCCCGACUUCAGGAAGGGGUGUAUUUAUUAGAUAAAAAACCAACGCCCUUCGGGGCUCCUUGGUGAAUCAUAAUAACUUAACGAAUCGCAUGGCCUUGCGCCGGCGAUGGUUCAUUCAAAUUUCUGCCCUAUCAACUUUCGAUGGUAGGAUAGUGGCCUACCAUGGUGGCAACGGGUAACGGGGAAUUAGGGUUCGAUUCCGGAGAGGGAGCCUGAGAAACGGCUACCACAUCCAAGGAAGGCAGCAGGCGCGCAAUUUACCCAAUCCCGAUACGGGGAGGUAGUGACAAUAAAUACUGAUACGGGGCUCUUUUGGGUCUCGUAAUUGGAAUGAGAACAAUUUAAAUCCCUUAACGAGGAACAAUUGGAGGGCAAGUCUGGUGCCAGCAGCCGCGGUAAUUCCAGCUCCAAUAGCGUAUAUUAAAGUUGUUGCAGUUAAAAAGCUCGUAGUUGAACCUUGGGUCUGGCUGGCCGGUCCGCCUCACCGCGAGUACUGGUCCGGCUGGACCUUUCCUUCUGGGGAACCUCAUGGCCUUCACUGGCUGUGGGGGGAACCAGGACUUUUACUGUGAAAAAAUUAGAGUGUUCAAAGCAGGCCUUUGCUCGAAUACAUUAGCAUGGAAUAAUAGAAUAGGACGUGUGGUUCUAUUUUGUUGGUUUCUAGGACCGCCGUAAUGAUUAAUAGGGAUAUUCGA
rnacentral:rRNA from 1 species